rnacentral:rRNA from 1 species
UUACCGAGUUUACAACUCCCAAACCCCUGUGAACAUACCUUACUGUUGCCUCGGCGGAUCAGCCCGCUCCCGGUAAAACGGGACGGCCCGCCAGAGGACCCCUAAACUCUGUUUCUAUAUGUAACUUCUGAGUAAAACCAUAAAUAAAUCAAAACUUUCAACAACGGAUCUCUUGGUUCUGGCAUCGAUGAAGAACGCAGCAAAAUGCGAUAAGUAAUGUGAAUUGCAGAAUUCAGUGAAUCAUCGAAUCUUUGAACGCACAUUGCGCCCGCCAGUAUUCUGGCGGGCAUGCCUGUUCGAGCGUCAUUUCAACCCUCAAGCCCUCGGGUUUGGUGUUGGGGAUCGGCGAGCCUUUCUGGCAAGCCGGCCCCGAAAUCUAGUGGCGGUCUCGCUGCAGCCUCCAUUGCGUAGUAGUAAAACCCUCGCAACUGGAACGCGGCGCGGCCAAGCCGUUAAACCCCCAACUUCUGAAUGUUGACCUCGGAUCAGGUAGGAAUACCCGCUGAACUUAAGCAUA